UGCCAGCCGCCGCGGUAAUACGGAGGGAGCGAGCGUUAAUCGGAAUUACUGGGCGUAAAGAGCACGUAGGCGGAUCUUUAAGUCGAUUGUGAAAGCCCUGGGCUCAACCCAGGAAUGGCAGUCGAAACUGAUGAUCUUGAAUGCUUGAGAGGUUGGUGGAAUUCCAGGUGUAGGAGUGAAAUCCGUAGAUAUCUGGAGGAACAUCGGAGGCGAAGGCGGCCAACUGGCAAUGCAUUGACGCUGAGGUGCGAAAGCGUGGGGAGCAAACAGGAUUAGAUA
rnacentral:rRNA from 1 species